GGAUGUGACGGCGAUCUGGCUGCGACAUCUGUCACCCCAUUGAUCGCCAGAGUUGAUUCAGCCGAUCUGGCUGGCUAGGCGGGUGUCCCCUUCCUCCCUCACCACUCCAUGUGCGACCCUUGAAAGCUGCACGCUCAGUCAAAGAGGACAGCCAUCCCCAACAGAGGAGGACUGUUCUUCUCGGUCAAGGGUAUAUGAGUAGCUACACUCCCGGGCUAGAACCUCCAAACAAGCUCUCAAGCAAGCUUCGGUUUAGUUUCAUGUGUAUAAAAGUCUUUAACACAAGAUUAUUUUUAAAAGAAAAAUUCCCUAGUUUU
ensembl:misc_RNA 7SK 7SK RNA